UUGCUGUCGCCUCUCUCAUUUGAGAGGACAGAGAAAUAGCUGGAUUAACUGGCAACAGAAGAAACAUAAGAAGCUUUAGAAGACAGAAAGGGAAGAAAAUGAAACAAAACAGAAAAUUGAGAAGAAUCCUGAUCCUCUGGAUUGUCAUCCCACAAUUUUCUAUGCUAAAGAUUGACCAACUGCCAGCGCCUCUUUUGGAGUAAACUAGUUCCUUCAGAGGUGAAACUAAAGCACAUUUUGAAGGAGAAUUCACUCUUGAGAAUUUUCAAUAGGAAGAAGAAUAGAUGUGGACAAAACUACAGACAAUUUCUAACUCUUCAUCUCAAACAAUCCUAAAAAAAGGCUUAAAGCAAAAUGCCAAGAAAAAUCAAUGGGACAAAAUCAAUUUAAAGAUGCAGAUGGACAAUUUCUAUUGCAGCAAGAAGGCAUACGUGCAUAGCUGAGAAUGAAAUUUGAGUCACUGAGAAAACCAUUAUGAGGUUGCAUGGGCAAUAGAAAGUAAAGCAGAAGUUCUCAUUCCUUUUCCGUAUUCUACUCUUAAGGUAAUAUUCCUAACAAGAGCGCUGUAAUAAAAUUAACAUUUCACAGUAAAUACCAUAUUGCUAUACUCUUCCCUAAGCAUCUCUUGCUGUCGAUUGUCAGAGAGCUAGAUAAACUAAGCAGACGUUCGGUCUGAAAUAGUAAGGCAAUCCUUCUUAUAGCUAAGUACUCAGAAGCCAAGAAGUGCACUCCAGUUACUGUGCCACCAGCUUUCAUGUUUGAAAUGGAAGUGCAUUGGCAGAUGUUAUUAUACCAGAUUGAUGAGGGAAUUCAUGAGAAAAGUACAAGAUAUUCUAUUGCAUUUAAAAGGCAAACAGCAUAGAGUAUUAUUUCUGCUCAAAAUAGAUAUACUGUAUUCUGCUAUGAAUAUUAAAAAUGGCAUAGAAUUUUAUUAAUCCAAGCCACAGACUACACAAAGCAAAUAUGAUUGUUUAUAAAGUGCUUUAAUUUCUCUGAUAUCUCAUCUACCUUUUCCUUACACUUUGCCAUACUUAAGUCUCUACUUACAGACCUCUGGUGUACUUUUCCAGUGAAUGAUCCUCAACAUUAUUCCUUUGCUCUAUAAUUAACCUUUUGUUUAGUAAGAGCAAUUACAAUUAAAUUAGUAUGCUGAACUAUACAAUAUUUCAUGCUAAGCCUGCAGCUGUUGACUUCAUUUCAGUUCAAAUAUAGCCAAGGUACUGAAAUAGAUUUUUUCCCAUAUCACCUUAUUAAGGUAAUUAUAGGAGUCUUUAAAGAAGUACAGUCUUAAUAGAACUUAAAUUAACUUUUAAUUUGGACAACAGAUUUUUUGUCAAUAACAUAUUACAGAUGUUGCAGCUUGCCAUGAAAUAGCAAACAUUUAUGGAAUUAAAUGGAACAUAGUUUUAAUUCCUACAUACCUAAAUGAUAUGCAAUUGAUUCUGCUUUAAAACAUCUGUAAAAUAUGGUGUUUACUCAAACUUUUUUUUAUCUAUCUAAUCCCUUAUAAUUUUUUUUCUCCAUCCUGGGCUUCCUGACACUCACCUUUUUGCACAGAAUCAUUCAAGUGACUAUUAUUAAGACUGUGUCACUUAACUGUCCAGAAAAUUUAUCUCGUGAAUAUUUUGUUCUGCUGCAUUAUAUAACAGUUUUUGCUCUUUACGGGAAUCUUUAGUUCCAAUCUAUUCAUUUGUUUUAUUUUAUGGCACCUCAGCUGCCAGUCACACUCCAUAUAUGAUUUCAGCUUCUAUCCUCCAGGGUCAUCUGCUUCUACCUACAACCUUUUCCUUUUUCAGUUUUAUGAAUGAUGCAUCUGGCUUGAAUUAGCCCAUUAAUUCAUUCUCAACUGUGUUUAUUUUAUUUUAUUUUAUUUUAUAUCCCACCCACAGGGGGAUACCAUAAUCCUUUCAGGAAUCACUCUGGCUGUCACAUAACAGGAAACGUUGAAAUAUAUAGGCUUAAUGCUAAUUAUUAAAUAUGUAUUCACAA